AUGGUUUAGAUGGAAUCCUAGCAAGCUUAAUUGAUGAUUAGCACUUGAAUCCGAAGCUUUAAUAGCGGAUUUUGCCGUAAUUGCAAUUAGGGCUCCAAAAUAGGGUUUUGAUACAUAAGGGGUUUUGAUCUCAAUUGACCCUUCUCUAACCUAAUUGGUAGGUCUACGAACGCAACGGUGCGCUCGGUUCGGCGAUCCGACGAGUGUAAGCGGAGAUAUUGGGGAUCGAAGCCGUUAAGGUACAGAUUGCCGCAGCUCGCGGCGAAAGCCUCCAAAAAUCAUGAGAACGGAUCGGGAGCAUCGUGGUGUCGUGGAAUAAACUCCAGAAUAGACGGAUCGCGGAUUGGUGGCCGUUCGGGUGGUCGCGCAAGAGUUCGAGCCGAACCGGGUCACGGGUGCCGCGGGAGGCCGAUUGCAAGUGUCGACGAGCAAUCGGAACGCGAGUUAAGGUGGGUUGUGUUUACCGAAGCGACUAGGUCGCCCUUUAUGUCUAAGAUGAUUAAGAAUCCACGUUGAUGCAUAUGAAUGUAAAUGAGGUAAAUAAAGCAUGUGGUUGAUUCAUGUAAUUAAUGCAUGUUAAUGAUAUGAUGCAAAUACUAAGUAGGUGCAUAUAAAAUGAUAUAGAAAUCAUAGGAGACAUGAUCAGCAUCAUGAGAUUAUGUAUGCAUGUUGACAUCAUAGAAUGUAUGCCAGAUGAAAUGUGGAUAUCUAUAGUACUUGAUAUGACAAUAGGACAUCAAGUAGAUCGAGUGGCAUUAACCUAGUGUUAGUAAACAUAGGUCGGACAUAGAUGACAUCUAACCUAGUGUUAAAGAACAUAGGUUGAGUAUGAACCUAGAGUCGGGAUCUAGGUGUGUGGCAUCUAACCUAGUGUUAAAGAACAUAGGUUGAGAACUGAACCUAGAGUUAAGGUAAACCUAGGUUGUGAAAUUGAGGCAUUAGACCUAGAGUCAGUUGGACCUAGGGUGGAAAGUGCAUUGGACCUAGAUAGGUCAAUAGUAUAGGGUUGGAUAUGGACCCUUGACUUGUGAAGUCGAUUCCGGAAUCCCAGUACUUGUGAACUCAAUAGUUCUUGGACCGCGGGUGUAUGCGGCGAUGUUCCUCUCCCACCGGAAAGAACUUUGAGGAUUAUGACUAAGCAAGAACAAAGAGCGCUAGGGUGUACGGCAUGUUCCUCUCCCUAUCGGGGAUCUUGGCUAUGGGUGUACGCGGCUAUGUUUCCUCUCCCACUAACGGAUCCCUGACCACGGUGCACGGACCUUCGGGCGGACCGUUGGGCGAUGUGGUUCUUGGCUUGCAGGCUGAGGUGCAUGCGACAGGAUCCUUCACCUCGAGCCGGGCAGAGUGCGGAUUAUCCGCUGUUGAUUGACUCGAGGCCGAGUCGGGUGGCUAGCUGGAAUAAGGUAGAUAGAACCUUGAGGGCUAGUGGUAAAUGUGAUAACCUAAGGUAGUAGAAACCUUAGAGUUGGGUGACAUGAGCUAAGAUUAGCGAGAUUGAUUGUAGAAUCAAUAAUUCUACUAGUUGUUGCAUAUAUUCCUGUUGCAUAUAGCAUGACAUCAUUGCAGUUGUGAGGCAAAGCAAGGUAAAGUUAGUUGCAUGUUUAUGAUAUACAUAUCUAUCUGUUUAUUGGACUAACUUGUAUUUGCCUCCCUUGGACCUGUUGGUCGAGCUCCUCCCUUGGGUGGCCGUACCCACUGGGAACCAUGGAGUUGGUUCUCACCCCACGUUGUUUUGGGGUUUUACAGGUUCGCACGUGAGCGGCGCGGCGGCGCGAGGCAAGGGCGUAGCUCCAUAGAUAGCGCCCUACCCCCAGAGACCAGAGCUAGCAGUACCCCGUCGACGUAGCUUAGGGGUAUAGAAAAUGAAAGCAAGCAAAAUGUAUUAAACUUGUAAUAACUUAGUUGCUUUGGAAGUUGAAUGUAAUAUAAAGUGUGAUGUAACUAAAUGAAUCUAAUGUGAAUGUUGUAAUAACAUAGGAUGUGUUUAUGUUGAUUGAUACCUUCCUGAUGCAAUUCUGUUUGCUGAGUACUGUUCCUGGUUGGAACCCUUGUAUUGUACUUGUUGCGACGCCUAGAACGUACAGGGGAGACUCUGUCCGCGUACAGGGGAAACCCCGGUCCGUUCGGCGGUCUGUCGGCGUGCCCGAACCGGACCAAAUUGGGAGCGGUCUCGGGGCGUGACAAUAAAGGUGGUCUUUUGUGCGCAGGGGCGAAGACUCAUUUUCAGGGUACUACACGCCUAUUCAUAGAUUUGCCCUUGCGUUCAUUUGUUGUUAUUGCACGAUCGGCCAUCUUCUCCGGAUUUGGAGGACCAUGUUCGGCCGAUUGGAACCGCCGUUUGGAACCGCUCAUAACCGCUUGCGGUUGCCACGUUUUUGAACAAACGCAGCUCAUAUCUCCUGGCGCAUUUCUUCCGUACUCUCGGUCCAGCGUUUCGAAUCCUGAAUAUGGAUAUGAACUCGGUGUGCCAACUGUCCGCGCCGGAUUGGUCCAACAAUAUGUUGAUUAUUUUUAUUUGUAAGUUUGUAAUUUUUAUCUUUUUUUUAUUAAUAUAUUGUACUCCAUUGCUUUAUAUCCAUAUACUUUUUAGAUGACUUUUGGUAUAAGAAUUAGACAGAUUACAUAUAUCUUGUCCAUUAUAUGCGUGUCUUUAUGCCCUUUUUAAAUGCUUUAUGGACAAUUUAGCAGUUGAACUUAAAAAAAACCAUAUAAAUGGUUGUGACAAUGUUGGGAUCUUAUAAACAAUUAAGUACAUAAAAUUAUUUUGAUAUGAUUAAUAGAACUCAUGUUACAAUUGUUGUUAUUCACCCAAAUAUAUCAAUUUUUAAUAGGGGGUAAUCUCACCUCCAACAUAUAGGAGAUAUUUUUAUCUCACUUUUUCCAAUCAACCAAACAUAAAAAAUAAAAACAGAAAAACAAAUUUUCUUUUCCUUUUCAUACAUUCCAAACAAUAAUAGCUGAAAAAUAACUUUUACUUUUCUUCUAACCAAACGUCACAAAUCAUAAAAUUAGUUUUCAGAAAAGUCUUUUUUUAAAAAAAUAAUUUUAAUUCAUAAUUUCACGUAGAACCAAACACAUUAAAAUGUAUUUUAAAAUGAACGUGAUUGUAAAUAACUAGAAGAUCAGGNAUCUGACAACCCAACGAUUACCGAAUAUGGUACAAUCUCUGUACUACUAAACUAUGAACUCGAUAACUGAUGCAAACAAACGGUAGACACGAGUAAGCGUAUACGAACACUCCCAGCGAGGGAUGUUCGGCCGUGAGGCCUCAACCUGAUGCACUGAAUACGAGCGAGCAUGCCAUAGCUCUUUGGAUGCUCCAGCCCUCCCUAUCUGAGUAAGCAUCUCACCCUUACGACCUCAUGGUGGCUGUGAAUCCGCCGUGUUCGACCUGGUGUGAAUACAUCCAGGAUCUUGUACUAUCUUUUUACUGUAAUUUGGCCCUAUACUGUCAGUGAUGAUCUAUCCGUAUCAUCAACCUAAUGCAACUGUACGAAUAUCGCAUCGAAACCCUGUACAUCAUAUAAACUAUCAAAGUGAACAACGUAGUAUCAUAUGAACCAACGGUACUAUCUUAUACAAGUAGUAUAUAACUAUCUAACCUAGUAUUACGGAUAACGAAUAAUACAACCCUGUAUAAUCAGUACGUAACCUGAAUGAAGUAGUACUAUUCUACUUACAUGUUUUACAACUGUAGUACAAUGAAUACUGUAUCACUAAAUCGAGUAUAAAGUAUGAAAGUAUGGACAUCAAUAAAACAAUCAUAAUAAUGAAGAGCAUAGAUGGGAAUAAAAAACCCCGGAUCACCACGUAAUGCGAUUCCAGUCAUUAACGGGUGACCUUUGAUAUUUAAUAUCAAGAAUGCGGGAGAAAAAGAAUAACAAUAAUGUCUCGGAAGCUACGGCCCGCUCCGAUCCCUGACGCCUUUCCUAUAGCGGAGCCAGAUCGACGGCUCCCUGCAAUGCUAACCACCAGGUGGAGAGCAACUAAAAUAAAACUUCUCCAAAACCUGUCAAUGGACACAUAUCUCUACUGGGGUAAAACCUAAAGAAAACACUACCUAUAACAUAGUGAAAUACUAAUUAAAACACCUAAUGAAAGGAAAAUAAAAAGAGAAGAACGAAAAUCAGAUCAACAAUCAUCGAGACUAUAGAGAUGUAUGAACAAAGAAGAGCGAAAGCGUAGAGAAAACAGCAUCUGCGGAAUAUACACGUCCGUAUACCGCCCAGACCCGUGCGCGGCCCGCCCGGAUACGGCCCAGGGCCCCGUACUGUCUAUUCUCACGUGGCUGCCAGUGUACCAAGUGGUGGUACUGUGUCGUGGGUGCCCAUUCGGGAGAGCUUAGUGAGCUCGUAGUUGUUUCGCCGUGAGGUGGUGAAUCCGAUAGGUUCACAGUGCGGGGCCCUGGCCGCCUCCGGGAGGGCUACCGCACGUGUCUGGGCGGUAUACAGAUGUGUAUAUUCCGCAGAUGUUGUUUCGCCUUCAUUUUUGUUCUUUAUCUUGCUUAUCUUAUUAUUGUUGAUUGCUAUAGUCUCGCUCAUUUCAAGAUAGUAGAUUUGGUCUCAUUUUCUUUAUAUUGAUUUGUUUCAUUCAUUUCGUAGUCCACUAUGUUAUGAUUGCGGAGUUUUCUUUAUGGUUCUAGGUUUUCUUUCCACCAGAGAUAUGUAUAUGCCCAUGUUGAGAGUUGGAGAGUGUUUUAUUUUUGUAGCUCUCCAUCUGGUGGAUCGCUGAGCAGUGAGCGACUUCUCGAUCGAGCUUCGGUGCGGGAAGGGAGCCAGGGAUCGGAGAGGGCCACACCUUCCGAGACUUUCUUUUGUAUUUUGUCUCCCGCACUAUUGAUAUUAAAUAUCAAGGGUCACCCAUUAAUGACUGGAGUCGAGUUACGUGGUGAUCCGGGGUUUUCUUUUCCCAUUCAUUGCUGUUAUUAUUAUUCGUUAUUCCUCGCUGAUGUUAUUGAUGACUUUCUUUCGUAUAUACUUUACGAUAUAAUGAUACAGAGUUCAUUCGUACUACAUUCAUACUACAUGUAGAUGAGAUAGUAUUUAUUCAUGCAGGCUACCGUUGUUCAUUUGCGAUGACAGGUUCUACAGUACGUAUUUCUUACUCGAGAUAGUACGUUGAGUCAUAUGUUCUAUGUCUCGAGUGAAGUUCCAACAUACACUAUGUUUAGUGCCUCUUUAUGACACUUAAACAUUUACAUAACCUGUAAGGUACCGGACUUCUAAAACUAUUAAGUUACGGUUUACAUUCGAUUGGAGAGCCAUUUGAAUGGUCCCGGUGAAGUUUGAUGAGGUUCGGGAGCUAUCGGGUGUUUCGGUGCGCGUAGGCGCUAAAACGGACCCGAAAGGCUAACUUGGGCCGUGAGCUAAAUCCGGAAUUAGCGAGGUUGGAAAGAUGAUGAAAACAUGUUUGAAAACAUGUUUGGAGAGUCUCGGUUCGAUUUGAGACGAAUCGGAGGUCAAACGAACGAAAACGGGCGAAAACGGAGCGAAAACGGACGAAGCUGAAAAUUGGCUAAGUCUGGGCUGGAGGUCUCUCUGGGACCGGUCCCAGGUAGAGAGACCGGUCUCUCAGAGACCGGUCCCUCAUGUAGAGACCGGUCCCCGAACCCCGAAAAUGCCCAGUUCGGGCUGUUGCAAAAAGAGGCUUGUUGGGGGGUUUUUAUGCAAUUGUUGCAUGGGUUAAGUGUAUAGAGAGGGUUGGAACCUCUCUCUCUCUCUUUCCCUCACCCGUUUAGCCCCAAACGUGCCCCUCUCUAUCUCUAAACGAAAUAGAAGAAAAGAAGAAGAAGAGGAAGGAGAAGAAGAGAAGAAGAAGAAGAAGGAGAAGAAGAUCAAGAAGGGGAUCUUCAACCUCUCCUUCGUCUUCCUCGCGCUUGGAGCAACCUAGAGAGGUAAGCUUUGUUACCCUCUCAUGGUAGAUCUCUAGAAAUAGGUCUAAUUGCUCUAGAAGUGAGAUUAGUAGGCUCCUUUGAUGCUAGUUAGAUGUUUAUUGCAUGAAUCGGAGAUCGAUUUGGGGUAUUUUGCCGUAGUCGCAAACUAGGGCUCAAAAAUGGGAUUUUUGUAAAUAGAUGGGUUUAAUCUCAUUUAACCCUCUGUAAACCUAAUUAGGGGUACAACGAACGCGUUGGUGUGCUCGGUUCGACAAUCCGACGAGCGUACGCGAAGUUAUUAACGAAACAGUCUGUUUUGGUACAGAUAGCCGCAGCACGCGAGAUAAGCCUCCAAAAAUCAUGAAAGCGGAUCGGGAGUAUCGUGGUGUCGUGGAAUAAACUCCAGAAUAGACGGAUCGCGGAUUGGUGGCCGUUCGGGUGGUCGCGCAAGAGUUCGAGCCGAACCGGGUCACGGGUGCCGCGGGAGGCCGAUUGCAAGUGUCGACGAGCAAUCGGAACGCGUGUUAAGGUGGGUUGUGUUUACCGAAGCGACUAGGUCGCCCUUUAUGUCUAAGAUGAUUAAGAAUCCACGUUGAUGCAUAUGCAUGUAAAUAAGGUAUAUAUAUAUAUGAUGCAUAUAAAUGUAAGUGAUGCAUGUUAAUAAUAUGAUGCAAAUGCUAAGUAGAUCCAUGUAAAUGAUAUGUAUAAGUGCAUUGGAAAUGUAUGCUAGAUGCAUGUGUAUAUGGACUUGAUAGGACAAGUAGGAUAUCAAGUAGAUCGAGUGGCAUUAACCUAGUGUUAAUAAAUAUAGGUCGAACAUAGAUGACAUUGAACCUAGCGUUGGUGAACCUAGGAUAAAUAACGAGUGGCAUCUAACCUAGUGUUAAAGAACAUAGGUUGAGUAUGAACCUAGAGUCGGGAUCUAGGUGUGUGGCAUCUAACCUAGUGUUAAAGAACAUAGGUUGAGAACUGAACUUAGAGUUAAGGUAAACCUAGGUUGUGACAUCGAGGCAUUAGACCUAGAGUCUGUUGGACCUCGGGUGGAAAGUGCAUUGGACCUAGAUAGGUCAAUAGUAUAGGGUUGGAUAUGGACCCUUGACUUGUGAAGUCGAUUCCGGAAUCCCAGUACUUGUGAACUCAAUAGUUCUUGGACCGCGGGUGUAUGCGGCGAUGUUCCUCUCCCACCGGAAAGAACUUUGAGGAUUAUGACUAAGCAAGAACAAAGAGCGCUAGGGUGGACGCGGCAUAUUCCUCUCAUCGGACCUGGAAGCGCGGGAUGCUGAUUCAUACGUUUCCCUUACUGUUUCUCUUUCUCCGUCUUCAAGAGAGUUUUUCGAUUCAUGAUGUGAUGGAUCUUUUAAUCUAAUGUUGGGUGUGUAUGUGUGUGAGAGAACACACAAAACUGGAAUUGGUUUGGGGUGAUGAAUAUACGAGGAUCUAUGUUACUUGGAUUUGUGUGUGAUUGAGAGUAAUACUCUGUGUAAUUGAGUGGGAGUAUUACUCGGGAGUAUUAACGGUUUUCGAGUUCUCAGUAGGUAUUGAGGGUACUCAAAGUAUUGGGAACUCAAAGGAUGUCGCCCAACCCAAACCCAGAAUAACUGUUGGGCUAAGUUGGGCUUGAGCGAUUCGUCUAAACCCGGUGACAGUUCCUCUUCAGUCGCCCUUUAUAAAGCAGGUACUGUAAGAGGGGGUGGAUUGCGCGUCUGCGGGAGCAGCGCACGGCUCAACGAGGGCCAGUCGUAUCGGAAGGCGCGCCAAGCAGCACGGAACCGCGCGCUAGCCGGGGCACGGAACGAGGGUUACAGGCGUAGACAGGAGCGUGGUAGUGGAUCACAGAAUGGAGAGACUCGUUCAAGUUGUCGCUCGAACGACACGCUUCUUAAGCGGUCUACACGUACAGAAGGUGCUGUACAUGCGUGUGAGACGUUUCGGCGUCUUGCGGAGCUCACACGUACAGGAGGCGCUGUGCGUGCGCAUGAGACGGUUCGACGUCUUGAGGAAAACCAGGAGCGUCCGAGGAACCGUCUUACUGAACGUGAAACGAACCUGCGAUAAGCAAAGUUGCGGCGUACUCUGAACUGUCAGAGUGAUGACGAGUCCGGGAGGAAGCGCUCCAGGAGUCAGAAGGGCGCGAAGUGGAGGACCGUUUCGACGUCCCGACAGUCUCAACCUGAGAGCAACACGGGAAAAGGCAGGGGACCUAGUGCCACGAGAGGGGGUGGAAACCGGAGCGAGCGGAAACCAUCAAGUAGAGCUAGCGGGAGCCAAGCGAAUCCAUCACGGAGGGAGCAGAAUUCCAGGAGCUGGAGGAACUGGGCCCGUGGCUACAGGACUUCGUCGUGUAGAGCGUGUAGGGCGAGCAGUAACGCUGCCCGUUCCAAGUGGAACUUGAUGAGGUCUGCUACCGUCUUACAACGGUAUCGACGUUGUUAUAGGUAGAGGUAGUUUAUUUUGGAGAGGAGGUUGUAGGGGUGUACAACCCUAUCCAGUCUCAUCGCGAGGAGGCGCGAGCGUCGUCUCAGGAGGUCGUACGGAUGCGCCAGUAGUUCGUUCUGCCUGAGAGAGCGGUCUCAGGCGCCGAGGAACGAGAACGGAGCGAACCAGUGGGACCCGAGUCCGUGUUGCAGUUGCUGCCGUCGAAGGCUGCUUCUGUACCAAGGAAAAGCUUGGCCGAGACUAUGGUUGACAGUGCCGGAAUCGCAAAGACAAGCGUUUCGGGCACGCCGCGGGCGGAAGGACGAGCUUCUACCCGUUCGGAAGCAGGGAUAACGAUCGGACCUGGAAGCGCGGGAUGCUGAUUCAUACGUUUCCCUUACUGUUUCUCUUUCUCCGUCUUCAAGAGAGUUUUUCGAUUCAUGAUGUGAUGAAUCUUUUACUCUAAUGUUAGGUGUGUAUGUGUGUGAGAGACAACACACAAAACUGGAAUUGGUUUGGGGUGAUGAAUAUACGAGGAUCUAUGUUACUUGGAUUUGUGUGUGAUUGAGAGAGUAAUACUCUGUGUAAUUGAGUGGGAGUAUUACUCGGGAGUAUUAACGGUUUUCGAGUUCUCAGUAGGUAUUGAGGGUACUCAAAGUAUUGGGAACUCAAAGGGUGUCGCCCAACCCAAACCCAGAAUAAUUGUUGGGUUAAGUUGGGCUUGAGCGAUUCGUCUAAACCCGAUGACAGUUCCUCUUCAGUCGUCCUUUGUAAAACAGGUACUGUGAGACGACCCCUAGAUUAACACUUCCGUUAAGUUACGUACAAUUCUUCUAUACGAUUAAUUUGACGUACGACCUCUCUCAACUGGUUCGGACAACCGGCAUGCCAUUACUCCCCGGCACCGCAAUUAAUUCGGCUCGGUGAAGCCUCAAAGAACAUGCCUACGUCUAAAACUGCAAAAACUAGAUUAAUUCGAAACUGGAAAACUCUCUAGAAGAAACAUGAGGCAGAAAAGUUGUAAUUAUUUCAUAAACGAGACAGAAGCAGGUACCUGCGAACAUCCGGCAACCGGCUUGGUGCAUUUUAUAGCCACACGAGAAAAGAGAAAAAAAAAAAGAAAAAGAACGUAAUUCAUUAAAAGACUUUGAUUAAAAACGGCAAGGCUAAAAUUGUUUAACCAUAGUUUCGGAAAGAUAAGGGAAACUCUUAAUUCUACUGCUGCUUCAAGCUCUAAGUCUUUAAACUGUCCUGGUUGUCAAGCGUAAUAACAUUCAGUUCUACGCACACGAUAUAACUGCGUUGUUCCUAACAUCUUCCAUGACAACCCUUUUCAUUUCUACAGGCUAAGAAACUGCGGCCUCAUCUUCCUCUUCUAACUGCUGUUUGGAGAAUGCCGUUAUGUUAAUGCAAAUAAGCUAAUCUAUAACACGCUCCAGAACCUACUUUUCUGGCGACGUCCUAAAACCGAAUUUAAUCUUAUAGAGAUGUACUGCUUUAGAGAGUGGUUGUUCAAUAUAAACUUCAUUGCAGAGAAGUACAACGCAUAUCACCUUCUAUAGAAAUAAUUCAGCGUAAAUCUACUUAAAUUAAGAUAAUAAUACCUAGAGGCGAGCUAUCUACAAUUUUAGCUCUUCCUUCUACUUCGGGAAAAUAAUAAUACAAAAGAUGACGGGAAAAUAUUCUUAAAAGCACUCUGGAAGAACAAACCUGCUCUAUGAGAUACAGAGCUACUACAAUUUAGGAGAAAUGAAAGUUUUCUCUUUUAACUGUACGUCUAUUCGUUGCUCUGUCUACCUCGAAGUCCUGUUCUAAACCAGCGAUCUCCCUCCAGAGCGCUCUUCCCAAGGCUAUUAUCUCCAUAUAAAUCUAGUUUCAGUUUUGUAUCCAUAGAUUAAACACCAAUAACAUUCUUAUUCCCAGUGUAUUUUCGACUCACAAAGUUCAACUUUUUAUUUUUCGUCGCCUUCUUAUUGCCACUAUUUUAAGUCCCAGUCUUUUUGUGGUUAUGAUUUCGACUUCGUUCACAACGUCGUCCUCUUAGUCUAUUUUUACUAUAGCAAAAAUGUCAAUGUCUAUUCUGUGCGUUUGUCCUACUCACCGAAUACCUGAGGCGUACAAGGAAGGUAUAGACGUACGUAUUUCUUACAAGAGCUGAGUGAGAUUCACGUGUCAAUAACUUUAACCGUGAUAAGCCCAUGUCUAUAAGCUACCUCAACACUCCUGAUAUAGACUCCAAGCCGUACAAGGCCUAUGCUCUUUUUUAGACUAGAGCAACCCAUGUGAACUAUAAUUUUCAUAAGAAGUCGACUACCUAAUUACUUCCGACGAUUUCCCUUAGAAUAUCACUACUUACGGUUCAACAGGCUGUACAAUAUACAAGAUGUUCCAAGGUGACACUGUCCAAGUCGUCGCCAUUGAAGAAGGAGAUUCAGUCUAAGACUAUCGUGGUCUAAUACCGUAUACGCUGAUCCGAUAUACUCGCUUAUACCAUACUACUUCAACCCGUUCUCUCUAGAUGAACCAUUAGUCUCAAAUCUUUUCAACCUGAAGACGCUCGUAACAGAAGAAUCGUUUGUUUUCUCUCAGUCGAAAUUCCGGCGUCAAGUAAUCUGUUUUCCUUGAGACCUGACGUAGAUAAGACUAGAAGACCCUGGAAGAGCAUGAGGCUGAGUACCACCACGAUCUAUAUACAACUGAAAAUAACUGCUAAUAAGAGCAUUUCAUACCCGCAAGAAAGACUUUUCAUUCCUACUCAACAAGUUAAUAAAGUUCGUCACCUUCCAACAGUGCGGGGCUCUGGCGAGGGUUAAACCAGGCCAAGCCCGUGCGGCUGUCUGGCGGCUUGCAUGGCCCCAAAGGGGACAUGCGCCUGUCUCAGAGGGGACAUGCAAGAUCCGCAGCGUUAGGUUUGUUACAUGUAAUGUUACCAAGGUUGGUCCUUGUCUAUAGUUAGUACUAACGCAUUCCUUCAUAGUUUGUUGUAUUUGUGUAGGAUUCUAUAAUGUUGUAAGUGUAAUCUAAGUAAAAAUGUAAUGUAAGUUGGAGGUUUACGUUAAUUCAAUAAUGUAGUAUCUAUAAUGUUCCAUUUAUGUAAACGAACGAAAGUAAAAGAUAUGGGGAUUCGAUGCAGCUGCCCCCUGACGAUCGAGACCAGAGAGCCCUGUCCCGCGAUAGAUACCUCGAUGCGGGAACGGAGCGCGGCGGCGCGGCGAGUGCACGCUUGGACAUUUUGGGGUUUUGUUGCACCCCACUCUUGGUUGAGGUACCAAGGGUCACCCAUGCCGGUGGGUUCCCUCCUCGAGCUGGUUGUCCAGAUUCCCUCCGUUUAUGUUCAAUCAGGUUAUUUAUCUAUCUAUACAUAUAGUAUUUGUACGUUGAUUGAAAUGGAACGAAACGGAGUGUUGACGUUGCUACGGUACGAUAUACGUUGUCCUUAUAUACGUUGUAUUUAUAUACGUUGUUGAUCAUCUUAAUAACUAAGAUGUUAGUUAGAGCGAUUAGAAUCGAGUACAGUAGGUUGAGAUUCCAAGGAUGAUGGAAUCCAAUAGUGUAAAUGGUGAUCGGGAGUUCCAAGAUAGAUGGAAUAAGGUCGAUCGGGGGGCUAAGCCGGAGCUCAGUUAGUUGUCGCCUAUUAGGUGCGAGACGGGCCGAGCUCCACUUCCUAGGACAGCGUACGUGGAGUCGGACGUUCGGUUCUUGGUGUAGCGGGUUGCCAGGUGGGCUUCCAGGCACGUGGCACCAGUCCCUAGGCGAUCACCCUCUCCUUUGUAUCGGCGCAUGUGGGUAUCGGCUCUAGGGGCUAUCCNCUCAUGGUAAAUCCCUAGAUGUAGGGUUUUGAUCUCUAGAAAUGGUUUAAUUGGUAUCCUAGCAUGCUAAUUAGGUGGUAAAUGCUAGAAUCUAGAUAUUUAAAGGUAGGUUUUUACCUAAUUGGAAUCUAGGGCUCCGAAAUGGCGUUUUGAUAUAUAUGAGGGUUUGAUCUCUUUUAACCCUCUGUAAACCUAAUUGGGGGUAUAACGAACGCGUUGGUGCGCUCGGUUCGAUAAUCCGACGAGCGUACGCGAAGUUAUUAACGAAACAGUCUGUUUUGGUACAGAUUGCCGCAGCUCGCGGCGGAGGCUUCCUAAAAUCAUGGAAAUGGAAUCGUAGCAUCGUGGUGUCGUGGAAUAAACUCCAGAAUAGACGGAUCGCGGAUUGGUGGCCGUUCGGGUGGUCGCGCAAGAGUUCGAGCCGAACCGGGUCACGGGUGCCGCGGAAGGCCGAUUGCAAGUGUCGACGAGCAAUCGGAACGUUAAGGUGGGUUGUGUUUACCGAAGCGACUAGGUCGCCCUUUAUGUCUAAGAUGAUUAAGAAUCCACGUUGAUGCAUAUGCAUGUAAAUAAGGUAUAUAUAUAUAUGAUGCAUAUAAAUGUAAGUGAUGCAUGUUAAUAAUAUGAUGCAAAUGCUAAGUAGAUCCAUGUAAAUGAUAUGUAUAAGUGCAUUGGAAAUGUAUGCUAGAUGCAUGUGUAUAUGGACUUGAUAGGACAAGUAGGAUAUCAAGUAGAUCGAGUGGCAUUAACCUAGUGUUAAUAAACAUAGGUCGAACCUAGAUGACAUUGAACCUAGUGUUGUUGAACCUAGGAUAAAUAACGAGUGGCAUCUAACCUAGUGUUAAAGAACAUAGGUUGAGUAUGAACCUAGAGUCGGGAUCUAGGUGUGUGGCAUCUAACCUAGUGUUAAAGAACAUAGGUUGAGAACUGAACCUAGAGUUAAGGUAAACCUAGGUUGUGACAUCGAGGCAUUAGACCUAGAGUCUGUUGGACCUAGGGUGGAAAGUGCAUUGGACCUAGAUAGGUCAAUAGUAUAGGGUUGGAUAUGGACCCUUGACUUGUGAAGUCGAUUCCGGAAUCCCAGUACUUGUGAACUCAAUAGUUCUUGGACCGCGGGUGUAUGCGGCGAUGUUCCUCUCCCACCGGAAAGAACUUUGAGGAUUAUGACUAAGCAAGAACAAAGAGC
rnacentral:lncRNA from 1 species